rnacentral:rRNA from 1 species
UUGCACGCUGGCGGCAGGCUUAACACAUGCAAGUCGAGCGGGGAAAGGUAGCUUGCUACCUGACCUAGCGGCGGACGGGUGAGUAAUGCUUAGGAAUCUGCCUAUUAGUGGGGGACAACAUCUCGAAAGGGAUGCUAAUACCGCAUACGUCCUACGGGAGAAAGCAGGGGACCUUCGGGCCUUGCGCUAAUAGAUGAGCCUAAGUCGGAUUAGCUAGUUGGUGGGGUAAAGGCCUACCAAGGCGACGAUCUGUAGCGGGUCUGAGAGGAUGAUCCGCCACACUGGGACUGAGACACGGCCCAGACUCCUACGGGAGGCAGCAGUGGGGAAUAUUGGACAAUGGGGGGAACCCUGAUCCAGCCAUGCCGCGUGUGUGAAGAAGGCCUUUUGGUUGUAAAGCACUUUAAGCGAGGAGGAGGCUACCGAGAUUAAUACUCUUGGAUAGUGGACGUUACUCGCAGAAUAAGCACCGGCUAACUCUGUG